UACGACCAUAUCACGUUGAAACAACGACUCAUACGAUCAGCGAACUUAAGCAACGUUAUGCCUGGUCAGUACCUAGAUGGGUGACCUCUUGGGAAUACCAAGUGCUGUAAG